GUUUAAUAUGAAAUGUCAAAUUCAACUUCAAUUUGUGUCAUUGGCACUGAUAAUUUAUAUGUAAUUUAUUUAGUCACUGGACAGCAAAAAUGCGUAAAAGUAAAAAAAUAAACCAAUUAGGAUGGAAAGAUAUCUGGUGGGUCAAAGGCUUCUCCAGCUUCGCCAGGACGGUUGAUCGCCGGUUCCCAACGCGGCGCACAGAAGUAUUUAUGUCGAUUCGUAUUACUAAGGCGCCGGAAUAUCUAGCCAACAAGUGGAAGAUACUACUAAACUUUUUGAACAAAGCUCAAAUCGUCCACGCUGGUAUUAGCAAUAUUGGUACGAAACCUGGAAGAUUUCUAACCUACACCGACGAAAUCAAAUACUAAUAUAAAUUUAUUUACAGAACGUGAAAUUAUGAGUUAUAUAAUUGUAUUGCAUUAUUAAGUCAUUGAACAGAGAGUUGAUUUGUUCAACGACUUAAUUGAAUCAUUAUUUUACUUAACUUAUUACAAUAGCAACAUACGCGAAUCAAAUUAAUGAUGUUAGAGAAUAAAAAUCAAUG